GAUAGUAACUGGUAAACAUGUAUUCCAGCAUGUCUUCUGGAGCCCAGCUUCACUAUUUUCUAUGAAUUGACCAGUAAGUAAAUUAGUUUACCUGCAGCAGCCUUUAACCUGCACCCAGCAUGGACGAAAACACUUUGAAACUGCUGGUAAAGCUCACUCAGGAGGGGCAGUUAAACUCUCUGGAGAAACAGGUAGCAUCAGGUGGCUCUGUGGCUCUACAGACUGUCAGUAAUAAACACUUUGGUCGGUCAGGAGACACCUUGCUGCACUACGCUUCCAGAAAGGGACACUUGGACAUUGUGGAGUAUCUGAUAAAGCAGGUUGGCGUGGAUGUGGAGGUGUAUAACAACGACUACAAGAGGCCGCUGCACGAAGCUGCUUCCAUGGGCCACCAGGCUUGUGUUAGCUACCUUCUCCGGGAAGGUGCCAAGGUGGACGGUCUGAAGAAAGCCGACUGGACUCCCCUGAUGAUGGCCUGCACCCGCAGAAACCUCGCUGUGAUCCAGGAGCUGCUGAGCCACGACGCCGACCCUGCUCUGAGAAACAAAGAUGGCUGGAACUGCUUCCACAUCGCCUGCAGGGAGGGGGAUCCUCUGGUCAUACAGCACCUGCUUCUUAUCAGGCCGGACGUCUGGAGGACGGAGAGCAAGACGCAGAGGACACCUCUACACACAGCAGCGAUGCACGGCUGUGAGGAGGUUGUUAGGAUCUUGCUGGAGAGAUGUGUUUACACCCCCGACAGCCCUGACAGCUGUGGAGUGACACCUUUCAUGGACGCCGUCAGGAAUGGACACAUUUCGGUAUCCAGGCUGCUUUUAGAGAAGCACCAGGCGUCUCCAGCAGCAGCUGAUUCGGUCGGGGCUCAGGCGGUGCAUCAGGUGGCUGUUACCGGGCAGGAUGAGGCACUGCAGUUCCUGGUGAGGGAGCUGAAUGUCGACGUGAACCAGAGGACGACUGACAUCCAGCUUACUGCCCUGCACUACGCUGCAAAGGUGAGGAGGGCCACUCAUCUACUAUAAAAACACUGCUGGAGUUGGGGGCUGAUCUUCAUGUUCGGGACACAAAGGGAAGAACUGCUCUUCAUAUAGCGUGCAUCGGGCAGCGUUCAGAUGCAGCCAGGACGCUCCUGCAGCUGGGACUCACAGACUCAGAGGACACAUCUGGCACAACUGCACGGCAGCAUGCAAAGAAACCAGAUGUAGUCCAGGUGUUUGAAUGUGGAAUACCAGACCCAUCAUAGAGAAUACCAUACAGAUGCAUCUACUGGUUCUGUUACAAUAAAUAUUCAAGGUGACUUAAGUCAAGUUUGAGAAGACAACAAUAAAUCGUAACUUGUG